GCUCUCCCCGGGGCUGCAGUGCCGGCGUGCCGCUCCCGCCGGCUCCCGGCAGCAAUGGAGGAACCCUCCCGCCUGGCUGAGGCUUCCCAUGCUGGAAGAAAGCGUCUCUCGGGGCCGAGAUGAUAAAAACUUUGCUGCCCCGCAGGCCAAGUUUGCUCAGAGGACGGAGAGGCUCUGUUGUUCAGAUUGGCAGCUGGGGGCUUGGGAAUCCUCCUUUACCUGCCAGGCUGUGGACAUCAGCACCCAGAACAACCUGCUUCCCUGCCCUCCCCACCAACCCUAGCUGUGGGGAUGAUGCUCCAGGAGACUGAGGAGCCAUGGUGGGGUGAAGGACCUUGCCCAGGAAGACCAGCAGGUGCAGAGGGCUGGUUCAGCCCGAAGACAUCCAGGUGCAGUGGAUGCAGCAUCACUCACGCUUUCAAGGCUUCCUGACUGCAGGAGGCAGCGCUUGGUGCACCGAGGGGAAGGCUUGGAAGUAUACAAACACCAAAGAUGAAAGAGCAUCCUUUCUGAAGAACAUUUC